rnacentral:pre_miRNA from 1 species
GAAGUACUCCCUCCGUCCGAAAAAGCUUGUCUCUCAAAUGGAUGUAUUUAGCACCAAGUUAGUGCUAGUUUGAGGAACAAGCUUGGGACAAGUUUUUCCGGACGGAGGGAGUACUUC